UGCAUCUGAGAACAGGGAGAGACAAAGUCACAACCUUCUUAAAUACAUUGAAGGAAUAAUGUUGAGUUUUAAGGCUAAUGUAAGGUUCUGAAGUUAUGGUCACUAAAUGAGUUCCAGUCCAAAGUCUUGUGUGGUACUUUAAGGUCAUUAAUCAACAAAAUUCUGACAUUUCCUGAACUUAAAAACACUAAGAUAGUAAUUAUGACAGAAGUUAAAUAGUUGUAUUUUUCAGUAAAUGUUGCUUUUUUGGUCAUAAUAUACAACUGUACUGUGUUCUUGAGAUACAGAAAGUAGCAGAAAAGUGGCAGGGUCAACACACUGUUGAAAACAAGACUUAUCAUCUGCUUGUGAUAUAUCUGAGGUGGAUUUAAAUAUACCUGUAAAUAAUAUACAUUCUGCUACGGAUUAUUUGUUUUCUCACCUUAUUUGUUGUGUAGCUGUCCCAGAUGAUUAGCUUUCCAUCUUGCGAGGCACUCACGAGACACCUACAAACAAAUAACGGCAGCAUUAAAGUCAGUUCAUAUACUGAAAAUACACAUAAUCUAAAGGUACAUGCAACUGGUCCAGUUCAAGCAAUGAGAGUCAGCCAUUUUACAAACUGUACUAUACCAUCUGAACAAACAAGUAUCUCUGUCUGAAAGCCCCCUACUCAUCUCCCCCAGAGGUUUCCCUCCAUUCUCCUUCUUUCUCCAUCUACUGGUAGAAGUCUCCUCAUGCAGGGAAGUCACUUUUAAUGUCCUACACUAUGCAAUAUUCAUUACACAGGCCCUGCUGUCAGGACGGGGCUGGAGGCCUCAGGAGUUUAGUAAGCGCUGGUAACAAGCUGACGUGGGACAGGAAGGAAGGAAAAGACAGAAGAAAACAACGUAGGAAACAAAAGAGAGGAUGAACAUAUGCAGAUGCACAAACAGCUGGAGCCCUUCCCUCUUAUCCUGGCUGUGUUUUUCUCUCUCCAGACACCGGAAGUGGUUUGACGGUGCUAUGCCACGAUCAAGAGGAGAGGCAUCUAACUCAAAUGUCAGAGGCUGUAUACAAAAUAAACUCUGCAGGGUCACCCAGAGGGUGAUCCAAGACAACAGGAUCCAUUGGAAUGUUCAUUGUGGACUCAUGCCUCAGCCAAGGAGGCUCUGGAUAGUAACAAGACAUCAGGGACAGUGAGCGCUACAAUGCUCCCAGCUGCGCAGCAGUGACGUCACUCGCCUCUGGAUGACGCAAUCUCACUGAAGAGAGGCUCUCAGCGUCAGCUCACCUGUGAUGCUGUACAGCUCCAUUAAUGCCAUACAUCCAUUACACUGUACACCUUUGAAAUCUGCUAUACAAAGCAUAAUGUGGGUGACUAAAACACCCGACAUGCGCUUCUACACUCAGCUCAACGUUUUUAUUCAGUGAUUUUAGACUGGGGCUUGCGUGAUAUGCAGCAGAUAGGACAAAUUAGGUAAAGGUACCGUCGGGAGUGAUGCUGAGAUGCUUUCAGGGCUUUCCGUCAAUGAUGGUACACCGUACAACUAGAGCUGAAACAAUUAAUCGAUUACUAAAUUAAUCGACAGCUAUUUUGAUAAUCGAUUAAUCAGUUCAAAGCUUUUUCCAUGAUUUAAACGAUUGUUAGCUUCUUAAAUGUGAAUAUUUUAUUAAUUUCUUUGCUCUGGAUAACAAAGAAACCUUAAGUUAAUAAUUUUGGUUUGUGGAAAAAAUACGUUUGAGAACAUCAUCAUUUCCACGUUUGACUAACACGAACAACAUUUUUUAAGGUUUUCCAAUAUUUUAUGGACCAAGCGAUUAAUCGAGAAUAUAAAUCGACAGAUUAAUCGAUUAUGAAAACAAUCGUUAGUUGCAGCUCUACGUACAACUACUGAAAUCAAUUGAUAGAUUGAUAGCUUGAUAGAUCAGGCAAAAUACAAGAAUUGAACCUCAAAGUUCUUCACAUCAUUAAAGGAAAAACCAAACCCACCCUCACAAACUCCUAACAAACUAUAAAGCAAAUAAACCAAAAAAAAAGCAGAACUGAGGAAACUGCAUCAUCAUCUCAGUAACAAUGAGGAAACACCAUAGACUAAAAUACUAAUGACUGAAAAGAAAUCAGUGGGAAUAAAAGAGAAAAUACAGAAUAUACAGAAUAUACAGUAAUUAAAUACAAUACUCAUCAAAUAAUAAUGUUUGCCGAUAAAUAGUUUCAAUGUUUACCUUCCACAAUUUAUACAACCUCAGUGCCUGUGUGAGUGUGUCUUUCCUCCAGCUUGUGCAGCCAGCCAGUGAGUGACACAGAGCCUGAACAUGGCACACAAUCAGGGGUGACAAAGGUGGAGCUGUGUGCUGGAGCUGCCCAUUGUUUAGUAUGUGGCUGCCAGCUAAAGUAGAUAGGGCUGCCUGACACCACAAGAGCUGGGUCUCAGACUCACUGUGGGAAACUUCAAUUGCUCCUGUGCUGCAUUACUGAGAAACAAACCAACCAGCCGCCCAUCAAACCUGUCGAGCCAGACAUUCUCUGCCGCGAACAAAGCUCAGCUGUCAUGAAACUAUGUAUAUCAUAAUCAUCAUUGAAUGUGAUCAGUAAUGAUCAUGUUACCGCCCUUAAAAAAAGCCUCAAGUUAAAACAAUAACAUUUAACUGCAAUACAACAGAAAAACAAUCAAAUUAAUGCAAUACACUCACUAAAAAAAACACUAAAAAAUGUAAAAUGUGUAUUUUUCUCAAUUAUUAAAAAUAUGUGCAGCCUGGUACUAACUUGUCUUUUACUGCAGUAAGAAAAAAAAUUGUAUUUGUGGGCAGCCCAUGGCCAAGUGAAAGGGAAUUGGGCUUGUAACUGUAAAAUAUCAACACCUGAGCAAGUACUGGACCCCCAUUUCUCCCAGGCGUAAAUGUGUGCUGCCCAUUGCUCUUGUGUCCAGUUUAUGUAUUCACUGUGUAUUCAUGGGUUAAAUGCAAAAGUGAAAUUUGCUGUCAUUUCUGAAACUCAGUUUUAGCUACUUAAAUCCAAAAUAUAGAGCUCACAUUAGACUGCAAAGGGUGGUGGGUGUUCAGCUCUCAAUAUAAUAUGAGCUAUUCCUCCACAUGAACAUUUUUCCAGGUUUCUGAUGAAAGGAUAAAGGGUAUCAAUGUAAAUGAUGGAAUUGUAAAUUACAAUCAGUACAGAUCUUUUUGGAAUUAAGAAAUUUUGCACAUGUCAACAUAGCGAGUGACUCCUGAUAGCUCUGGGUCACAUUCAGUGGAAGUCUGUCACAUCUGCUUCAAUCACAAACUAACACUUGUGAGCAAAGCAGCAGGAGUUAUAGGCAAUGCAGCUGCACCCAGAGCCACAGGGGCCAAACAACAUGGAAUGGUCAGGAUGUAUAUGAAUUAUAAAAAGGUCUGAGCACAUUUUUGUAACAUGGCCUACUGUGAAUGCUUAUUGUAAUUAUGUAUUAAUGUAUUAUAACCAGUGUUAUACUGAUUGCUCAUAUAAUCAAAAUGUUAUGUUAUAAAUAUAUGAAUAUAAAAUGUUUGAAUAUUGUUUAACGUGACUGACAAUGAAAAAUACACCUGGUGUGUGUGUGAUUUGUGAAAUAUAGAAACUGUAUUUAAAAUGCAAUGCCAGGAGAUGAGUCAAAGUGAAAACUUUUGGAGGAGCUGUUCCACCACGUGUAAACAUGUUCUGGUAACCCACUGACUACACCAAAUAUCCAGAGAAUGGAGGAAAUACCUGGUGAGAUUCCAGAAAAGUGCAGAGCUACAUAACUUCUCUUGGUUCAGUUAA